rnacentral:rRNA from 1 species
UGGGGAAUAUUGCACAAUGGGCGCAAGCCUGAUGCAGCCAUGCCGCGUGUAUGAAGAAGGCCUUCGGGUUGUAAAGUACUUUCAGCGGGGAGGAAGGGAGUAAAGUUAAUACCUUUGCUCAUUGACGUUACCCGCAGAAUAAGCACCGGCUAACUCUGUGCCAGCAGCCGCGGUAAUACAGAGGGUGCGAGCGUUAAUCGGAUUUACUGGGCGUAAAGCGUGCGUAGGCGGCUUCUUAAGUCGGAUGUGAAAUCCCUGAGCUUAACUUAGGAAUUGCAUUCGAUACUGGGAAGCUAGAGUAUGGGAGAGGAUGGUAGAAUUCCAGGUGUAGCGGUGAAAUGCGUAGAGAUCUGGAGGAAUACCGAUGGCGAAGGCAGCCAUCUGGCCUAAUACUGACGCUGAGGUACGAAAGCAUGGGGAGCAAACAGG